AGCGAACGCUGGCGGCAGGCCUAACACAUGCAAGUCGAACGAAGCCUUCGGGCUUAGUGGCGGACGGGUGAGUAACACGUGGGAACGUACCUUUUGGUUCGGAAUAACGCAGAGAAAUUUGCGCUAAUACCGAAUGAGCCCUUCGGGGGAAAGAUUUAUCGCCGAAAGAUCGGCCCGCGUUGGAUUAGGUAGUUGGUGUGGUAAAGGCGCACCAAGCCUACGAUCCAUAGCUGGCCUGAGAGGAUGAUCAGCCACACUGGGACUGAGACACGGCCCAGGCUCCUACGGGAGGCAGCAGUGGGGAAUCUUGCGCAAUGGGCGAAAGCUUGACGCAGCCAUGCCGCGUGAAUGAUGAAGGUCUUAGGAUUGUAAAAUUCUUUUACCAGGGACGAUAAUGACGGUACCUGGAGAAAAAGCCCCGGCUAACUUCGUGCCAGCCGCCGCGGUAAGAC
rnacentral:rRNA from 1 species